rnacentral:rRNA from 1 species
CCUACGGGAGGCAGCAGUGAGGAAUAUUGGUCAAUGGCCGGAAGGCUGAACCAGCCAUGCCGCGUGAAGGUCAGUGCCCUAUGGGCGUUAAACUUCUUUUGUGCGGGAGCAAUAAUGGUCACGUGUGGCCAGACGAGAGUACCGUACGAAUAAGCAUCGGCUAACUCCGUGCCCGCAGCCGCGGUAAUACGGGGGAUGCAAGGGUUAUCCGGAGUUAUUGGGUUUAAAGGGUGCGUAAGCUGUGAGGUAAGUCAGCGGUGAAAUGCCCCUGCUCAACGGGGUGAAGUGCCAUUGAUACUGCCUUGCUGGAAUGCGGAUGCCGUGGGAGGAAUGUGUGGUGUAGCGGUGAAAUGCAUAGAUAUCGCACAGAACACCGAUUGCGAAGGCAUCUCACGAAUCCGCGAUUGACGCUGAUGCACGAAAGCGUGGGUAUCAAACAGGAUUAGAUACCCCAGUAGUC